rnacentral:piRNA from 1 species
UGCUUAGUUUUUGAGGGCGAA